rnacentral:rRNA from 1 species
GAGUUUGAUCAUGGCUCAGGACGAACGCUGGCGGCGUGCCUAAUACAUGCAAGUCGAGCGAGCCGAACUAAUUGAUUACCUUCGGGUAUGAAGUUAGGGAAGCGAGCGGCGGAUGGGUGAGUAACACGUGGGUAACCUACCCUAUAGUCUGGGAUACCACUUGGAAACAGGUGCUAAUACCGGAUAAAAGGAGAGAUCACAUGAUUUCUUUUUGAAAGGCGGCGUAAGCUGUCGCUAAAGGAUGGACCUGCGGUGCAUUAGCUAGUUGGUAAGGUAACGGCUUACCAAGGCAACGAUGCAUAGCCGAGUUGAGAGACUGAUCGGCCACAUUGGGACUGAGACACGGCCCAAACUCCUACGGGAGGCAGCAGUAGGGAAUCUUCCACAAUGGACGCAAGUCUGAUGGAGCAACGCCGCGUGAGUGAAGAAGGUUUUCGGAUCGUAAAGCUCUGUUGUUGGUGAAGAAAGAUAGUGAGAGUAACUGCUCAUUAUUUGCCGGUAAUCAACCAGAAAGUCACGGCUAACUACGUGCCAGCAGCCGCGGUAAUACGUAGGUGGCAAGCGUUGUCCGGAUUUAUUGGGCGUAAAGCGAGCGCAG